rnacentral:hammerhead_ribozyme from 1 species
AUUUAGCUGAAGAGUUCCAAAUAGAACAAAACGUGAGUUCUGAAU